ensembl:lncRNA
AUGAGUGAAUGGACUUUAUUUUUUAAUGAAGAUCCAGACCGCUUCAGUAAGAACUCUGUCCCUUGUUCACUUCAUUUUACUGCAGAUUUGUUUACAAACAAGGCACGAUUCGAUGCAGGAUUUUCAAAAAGAUUGCAACUAAAAGCUACUGUGCCGACUAUAUUCCAUGCUGACUAUAGUCAUGUCAAAACACACAAGUAUUGCUCCAGGACUGAUUUCAUGUAUUUUUAGAGAAUAUUAAUGAAGAGGAUCGCGCAGAACCUGUGCAGACAUGGCUCUUAAUGGUAUGUUUGUUUGUUGUUGUCUCUUAUUUUUAGAUACGCUGUUGUUUGUAAAUGCUACUGUUCUGUUAGCUUUUAAUAUACGGUUUUAUUCUGAUUAAUGCUUUAAUACAGCACAGCAACCGUACGCGUCCAUGUAUAACGCUUCUCAUUGCUAUGUGAAAAUAACUGUAUAAAUGGAACAGUUUGUUGGAGCUGAUCUGACGAUCUGAAUAAGAGGGGGAGAGAGAGAGAGAGAGAGAGAGAGAGAGAGAGAUGCAAAGCAGGGUGACGCAAGGGACAGGAUUGAGAACCGCUGCUUUAGAACACUGGUUUUGAAACUUGUGAAUCCAUUAGAAUCGUUAGAAGGCAGAAUCGCGAUACAUAUAUGAACAGAUUUUUAUGUGCACCCCUAGUUUUUCUCUUCCUCUUCUCUAAAGCAGCACAACAUGGCCUUGCCCCCUUUGUUGCGUGUUCCCGGAGGCAGGGUUUAUCUGGAUUCGUGAUGUAAUGGGCCUGGGAAGUAGCGUGUUGUAGUCCCUUACCAGACGUUUUUGUAGGCAUUAAACUGCCAGAAUUUUAAAAGACAUAUCUUAAAAUAUCUUAACAUUUUAAAUAACAGAUAUCUCCGUUUGCAUUGAACUUUCAGCGCUGCAGAUAUUGUUUAUGCUCAAACAGCAACAUUACACACUAACUAAAAUUAAAAAAAGUGAAAUCGCAAUCAACCACCCCUUUAAAAUUAUAUAAACAGUUUUGUGUAACUUUCGCUAACUGUCAUACACGUGUUCACAAAGAGACUGCCUUUCCGGCAGAUGCUGCCAGACGUAGGCGUAGCACACGCGCAAGUGCGCCUCACAAAAAAACAACGUUUGUUUACAAGAGCAAAGGAAUCAAAGUUGCCUUACUUUACCAAAGGAAAACCAGUCUCCUCUUGGCUUAUAUCGAAAUCCUCCGACAUUUUUCUUUACAAAUCCUUGUUUUGUGCUUCUAAUUCCUGACCGGCAUUUUGUUGUGCUGUCUCUCCACUGCGCUUCAGCAUUCGUCACUAAUCACUGGCACGCCUACCUCCUACGUCAUCCACUGGAACGGCUUUCGCCUAUGACAGUUAGCAGAAGUGUGAGAAAGGUGUUUAAAAUGUUUUAAAUACGGAUGUUUUUAUUACAAAAACUCAUCAAUUUGUUACAAGAGGCCUUUAUUUAUAUGAUGAGAUGGAAUAUGCUGAAAAUGUGAGUCACACGUGUUUCAGUAUGUGUGUAGAUAUUUGAAAAAUAUAAAUUGUAUGUGAAAUUGAAAUGAGUAUACCAGAUAAACCAGUAUACCCCCCAGAAUUAACAUAACACAAUCCCCAAAUCAGGUUAAUGGCACAAUAUGCAACAACUCUGCCAAGAUCCUAAAUACCAAAACAAAGCUUCCAGUAACCCCAGAGACAAGACAGUGUUCAAGGAAAUUCAGAUGCUCACUGCCAUGCCUGGAUGAGGUGUAGGUGAAUGUUCGGCUCCUUAAAAAAUGUGACGCUUUGUAUACAGUAUGUUGCUUUAGUCAAGGUUAUACAUGGUUAAAGGGCACACAAAAUAACUUGGGUUAGUAGACUUCCAAACCUCUUUUAAUUUCUGAGCAGUUUUUUGCUGCAGAGUGUAUAUAAAAGCUCUAUUCACUUCAUGCCAAAUCUCAGAGUUUAAUUAGCUGUGGAUUAUCACCCAGAAAUCUUAAGCGUCAAUAAACUCCAUAAGCAACACUGGAUUCA